UGUGCCUGCAACACUUUAUCCCAUAGUGAAAGUACAGUCAAAACAUGAGAUCCUUAGAACAGAGGGAAAACAAGGUGAAAAGAAAAAGGAAAGACAGCUGAAAAGGAAAAUUCACCAGCAUCAGUCACUGAUGGAUGGAUGGAUGAAGCCCUGCCUGGGCAACUCUUCUGACAAUGCAGUAGUCAGAGCUACAAGGACAUCUCCUCCAGAACUGCGAACGAACCAGGAAUCUGCUUUGAGACCUUUAACAACGCAAAACAGCAUAGGAGUGCAGCUGAAGCACCCGGGCGGUCCAAACUUUAUAUACGUCAAACCCAAGGACAAAACAAAAGACUCAGGUAAAAAACAACCAUUCCACCACAACUCCAGUUCCUCAGUGGCCAC